ensembl:lncRNA
GCAUUUUACCUAAGGAAGCUGUAGAUACAGGGAAAUAUCAGGGGGCAAAGAAGGAGGAAUAGAGAACAUGGAGGCAGGAAAUGGUGAAAAGGCUAGCGGAAAUCUGAAGACUAUGGAAACAUUCCCACCACUGGAACCUGGCCUGUGACUUGCCCUGUGGUCAGGAAUUGCAAAAGCUCAACAGGAGUUUACCAGGCAAAGCACGGUAAGCUAAAAAGCCACGUGAGAGGUGUCUACUAAGCCCUGUGCUGGGAGUGGGGUGGUUCAAGAAAGGCUUCCUGGCACUGACAGGCUUUGAGAUGCAUCUGAAGGUGGGACUCAGAGUAUUGUGGUGGGUGGGCUCAAGAGAGUGUUCUCUCCUUCCCACCUGUGCCUGGUGCCCAGCCCUUGGCUAAUGGCCUCUGGCUCCGGAGCCCACAGUGGCUGUUACCCCUGGAGGAAGGCCCUCUGCCUCUCCUUCCACAGCAGGAGCCGUCUUUGGGAGAGUGGGGUUGGCAAAGGCCACUUCCUCGACAUUCGUUUCCUACCCAGCCUCUGCCAACCAAAUCAAAUGCUACUUUCUUUCCAAGGCAAUUGGACCAACUUGUGCAAACAUGCAAAGCCAAUAAGUGGGUCUGAACUGAGGUCUUCAUCUAUUAUAGUACCUCCCCCACUGUCCAGAAGAAUUUUGUGUCAUCUACAAAAUAAAAUUUUCAUUUAUAUUCCUUCCCAUAGAACAAAUUAGAUAUAAAAUGAAUGGUUCUAACACUAUCUCAAAGAACCCUGCUUCUUUCUCUCCCUUUUCCAAAUAAUUUUGCUUUAAUUAAUUCAGCAAGUAUUUAUGGAAUCAGACAUUAUUCUAGGCAUUUGGGAUACAUCAGUGAACAUAACAAAGAUCCCUGCCCAAGCUUACCAUUUAGCAGGCAAGACAACCAGAAGACAUAAUAAGUAAGUUAUAAGCGUUUGCUAGAAAUGGUGAUGAGUGCCAUGGAAAAAGAACAAGAAGAGGAACGAAAUAGAGAAGUUCUCUAGUCCCAUGAGCCGAGCAUCAUGGCGGAGUGAGUUAUUCUCUUUGUCUCUCCCUUCUAAGUUAGUGGACAUCUGUUGACCCAUGAAGGACUCCCUACACAGCACAACAGAGCACCUGAGAGAUCCAUGCGUCUACUCCCACGAGCCAACCCCCCCUUAGUGGGAAGGAGGAUGGGAACAAUGAGAGGGAAGGAAGAGAGAGGACAGGGCUUCUGCUUUUUGCUCUAAGCCCUUGUCCCUGGUUGGAAUUUUAAACUAAUUGCAUGUAUCACUUUGAUAAAAAUAAAAAUUAAGUUCAAAUAGUGCUGUAACUAUAUUGGGAGGUGAGGGUGGCAGGGUGAGCCAAGUUCUCUUCUGUCACUGCAGAAAACAGGACAAGGUUUCUAACGUUAAUAAAUCAAGAAAUAGAACCACAGGCAUAUCAUUGAGCAAUGUAAAGAAGACUCGCAGAAGAAUUGAAAGCAGAAACAGCUACAAGAGUGAAAAGUCAUUUCUUCCAGGGGAGAAAUCGGAUAUGACUUUCAUGAAAGAUUUUGUUUGAACAAAUGAUUCUGCAGCUGAAAUUGGUUUGAACUCCAUGAUCCCUUUUGGCUCUCAUAAUUAAUGAUUCUUUAAAAGCAGCUGUUAUUCUUUAUGCUCAGCCUAUUUGCUUCCUCAGAGAACUUCCAUCAUUUAGUCAGAAGCCCUGCAGUCUGCCCCCAGUAGGCCAUGGUUUGAAGUGACCGGUGAGUUUGUUGCCAGUUUGCUUGAUAUGAAAGUGAGACCCUGCAGUCAAUCACUUGAUGAUUGUACUCUGGAGGGCCUCCAGAGCCACUAUUAGAACGGGGACAUGCACCUUUAGGUAUUCUGCCUGGCCUCCAGCACAGUGGCUCUUGUAACCACAGGUAAGCAUUUUGGCUAAUAGUCCCCUGGUGUCAU